UACGGAGGGGGCUAGCGUUGUUCGGAAUUACUGGGCGUAAAGCGCACGUAGGCGGCUUUGUAAGUUAGAGGUGAAAGCCCGGAGCUCAACUCCGGAACUGCCUUUGAUACUGGCAAUCUCGAGUCCGGAAGAGGUUAGUGGAAUUCCCAGUGUAGAGGUGAAAUGCGUAGAUAGUGGGAAGAACACCAGUGGCGAAGGCGGCUAACUGGUCCGGUACUGACGCUGAGGUGCGAAAGCGUGGGGAGCAAACAGG
rnacentral:rRNA from 1 species